rnacentral:rRNA from 1 species
UACAGAGGGUGCUAGCGUUGUUCGGAAUUACUGGGCGUAAAGGGCUCGUAGGUGGCCAACUAAGUCAGACGUGAAAUCCCUCGGCUUAACCGGGGAACUGCGUCUGAUACUGGAUGGCUUGAGUUUGGGAGAGGGACGCGGAAUUCCAGGUGUAGCGGUGAAAUGCGUAGAUAUCGGGAGGAACACCAAUUGCGAAGGCAGCUCGCUGGGACGUCACUGACGCUGAGACGCGAAAGCGUGGGGAGCAAACAGGG